UUCUCUAACGAAAGAGGACUGUCGGGUUUC
rnacentral:piRNA from 1 species